UACGUAGGGCGCAAGCGUUGUCCGGAAUUACUGGGCGUAAAGAGCUCGUAGGUGGUUUGUCGCGUUGUUCGUGAAAACUCACAGCUUAACUGUGGGCGUGCGGGCGAUACGGGCAGACUGGAGUACUGCAGGGGAGACUGGAAUUUCUGGUGUAGCGGUGGAAUGCGCAGAUAUCAGGAGGAACACCGGUGGCGAAGGCGGGUCUCUGGGCAGUAACUGACGCUGAGGAGCGAAAGCGUGGGGAGCGAACAGG
rnacentral:rRNA from 1 species